rfam:Nasonia vitripennis chromosome 5 unlocalized genomic scaffold Chr5_random001, whole genome shotgun sequence.
CAAUCGGCCCUUUUCAGGGCCACCAACUGUUCAUAAACGUAUUUG